AGAGGGUGGUUAAGGCAUACGGGGUGCAGGCAGAGAGGAGAAACAGCUCCUACUGUCCUGUCUCACAGUGGACUAACCAGACUUGUCAACAGUUCAUUGGACCUUUCAAAACAGCUAAUAGAUAGAUCGCCAGUAUCCUCAACACCUUUGUGCUGACAUGGUAAACGUUUAAGGUGAUGGAUAUGCCAGCUACCGUGGUCUCAGGGCCAGUGGACAUCAUAAAUGUAUAACAUGCUCUGUCCGUACAUUUGUACAGUUAAAUGUCUGUUAAAUGGUUUUUCAAAACUUUAAAAGCAGGGGCUAGGGAUAUAGCGAGGUACCAGAAUGCUUACAUAUAUGAUUCAGUCCCAGCUCUGUAAAUAUAAGACAGAAAAGUAAAAAAAAAAAAAAAUCUAGAUUCCCGAGGUCCACAGCAAAACCCCUAAAUAAAGUCUCCAGGUAUCAGGACUGCAAAGUUGGCUCGGAGGUGGAGAGCACUGGCUACUCUUACAGACGACCCAGUUCAAUUCCCAGCACCCACACGGAGGUUCAAAACCAUCUGUAACUCCAGUGUCAGGGCAUAUAGUACCCUCUCUGACCUCUGCAGGCACCAGGCAUGUAUAUGGUGCACAGACAGACAGACAGACAGACAGACACAAUCAAAAUAUCCAUACACUUUUUUUUUUAAUUUCCAGGUAUCAAAUGCCAGUAUCUGUUGCUCCUCUGAGCUCCUGAGAGAACUAACUCUCUGAGAUGACGAGGGACGCCGAACUGAGAUGCAAGCAAAGCUUCAAGUCUCACAGCGACGUCACACAGGGCAACAGUCACCUGCUUCCUAGGGCAGGUUCGGGAGGCACUGCCUCUGGAGAGUUGAGCCACCUGGAAAGGGAGAACUCCAGACAGCUGACUGGAUCCCUCUUCUGCAUGCAUCCAGAUGUUUGACGUCGUGUAAACAAGACAAUGUGCCCGCGAGCAGGAGCCACUCAGGAAUUAAAACUCUGUCACAGUAGAUGUGCUG
rnacentral:lncRNA from 1 species